CGCUCUUUGAAAAUAAAAAAUAAAGAGUCGAGCCUGCCCAGUGAUAGAUAUUUAACGGCCGCGGUACUCUGACCGUGCAAAGGUAGCAUAAUCAUUUGCCUUAUAAUUGAAGGCUAGUAUGAAUGGUUUGACGAAAACAAUACUGUCUCUUUUUAAUUUUAUAAAAUUUGAUUUUUAGGUGAAGAAGCCUAAAUAAAAUUGAAAGACAAGAAGACCCUAUCGAGCUUAAAAAAAUUUUGUUAAAAUAAAAUGGCUAUAAAAGACCGCCUAUAACAAAAAAUUUUAGUUGGGGCGACUAAGGAACAAAAAAGCUUCCGCUUUAUUAUAAAAGCUUAUAAGCUAUGAUCCAAAAUUCUUGAUUAAAAAAAUUAGCUACCGUAGGGAUAACAGCAUAAUCUUUUUUGAGAGUUCUUAUCGAAAAAUAGGUUUGUGACCUCGAUGUUGGACUAGAAUAUCCUAAAUGAUGCAGAAGUCUUUAAGGGUUGGUCUGUUCGACCACUAAUAUUCUACGUGAUCUGAGUUCAGACCGG
rnacentral:rRNA from 1 species